rnacentral:rRNA from 1 species
UACAGAGGGUGCGAACGUUGCUCGGAAUUACUGGGCGUAAAGCGCGUGUAGGCGGACCGGUAAGUCAGAUGUGAAAUCCCUGGGCUCAACCCAGGAACUGCAUUUGAAACUGUUGGUCUAGAGUAUCGGAGAGGGUGGCGGAAUUCCUGGUGUAGAGGUGAAAUUCGUAGAUAUCAGGAGGAACACCGGUGGCGAAGGCGGCCACCUGGACGGUCACUGACGCUGAGACGCGAAAGCGUGGGGAGCAAACAGG